GAAAUGCGAUAAGUAAUGUGAAUUGCAGAAUUCCGUGAAUCAUCGAAUCUUUGAACGCACAUUGCGCCCGCCAGUAUUCUGGCGGGCAUGCCUGUUCGAGCGUCAUUACAACCCUCAGGCCCCCGGGCCUGGCGUUGGGGAUCGGCGGAAGCCCCCUGCGGGCACAACGCCGUCCCCCAAAUACAGUGGCGGUCCCGCCGCAGCUUCCAUUGCGUAGUAGCUAACACCUCGCAACUGGAGAGCGGCGCGGCCACGCCGUAAAACACCCAACUUCUGAAUGUUGACCUCGAAUCAGGUAGGAAUACCCGCUGAACUUAAGC
rnacentral:misc_RNA from 1 species